GACGAACGCUGGCGGCGUGCCUAAUACAUGCAAGUAGAACGCUGAAGGAGGAGCUUGCUUCUCUGGAUGAGUUGCGAACGGGUGAGUAACGCGUAGGUAACCUGCCUGGUAGCGGGGGAUAACUAUUGGAAACGAUAGCUAAUACCGCAUAAGAGUAGAUGUUGCAUGACAUUUGCUUAAAAGGUGCAAUUGCAUCACUACCAGAUGGACCUGCGUUGUAUUAGCUAGUUGGUGGGGUAACGGCUCACCAAGGCGACGAUACAUAGCCGACCUGAGAGGGUGAUCGGCCACACUGGGACUGAGACACGGCCCAGACUCCUACGGGAGGCAGCAGUAGGGAAUCUUCGGCAAUGGACGGAAGUCUGACCGAGCAACGCCGCGUGAGUGAAGAAGGUUUUCGGAUCGUAAAGCUCUGUUGUAAGAGAAGAACGAGUGUGAGAGUGGAAAGUUCACACUGUGACGGCAUCUUACCAGAAAGGGACGGCUAACUACGUG
rnacentral:rRNA from 1 species